GAAAAGGUUUUCUAGGGUUCCGCAGCUGCCAGGCCGGCUGGACUGUGACCGAGAGAAAACGCGCGGCGCGGCUCGCGUACACGGAGGGAUAAAAGCCCGGGAGGA
rnacentral:sRNA from 2 species